CUCCGCGCACACGCACACUCUGCCAUCACCGGCCCGCUGGAGCCUGCGCUCGUGCGAGAAGAGUUCACGGGCAAAGUGCGUGGGACUGCGCGAGCUGCGGGACCAAAGGCAAAGCGAACGGAGGAUCUGUGCCCCCGCAUCUUGGCUGCUCCGCUGAGAUGGGUAACCUUGCAUCUUCGUGGACAGGAAGUUCUGAAUGUCAACUAGAUGUUGUUGAAGUGCACUAGACUUGCUCCACCGGAUGAAGCUUCUCGUAAGAAUGAGUACGGAUGAGUAACGGAGAGUAACUAGUGACACAGUACCGAUCAGAUGAUGCUGAGUAUAUGCUGCUGGCCAUGGGGAUUCCUGGCAGGGUGAUUUUUGGCAUUAUGGUAUGAAUCACAUUGCCAGGGAUUUCCAAUGGCUGGCAUGCAACCAGAGCCCCCUGUGACUCCACUCCAGGCCUCCUCAACGCUGCCAAAGUUCUGCAGUGGCAGGACUUAGCCCACAUGUGAACACUGCAUGCCACGCCAUGUUCACAGUGGUUAAGUUCUACCACUCUGGGCCCUAUACCAAAAGCAGAGCAGGAGCAUGAUUCCAGCUGUGUGGAGGCUAGGCCAAAGUUUGAAAUAUCAAAAAUCUAUAGAACCAAGGCACCACCUGUUUCUGUAAAUCUCGUCUCAUGUCCUUCCUUCAUUGUUUAAUAUCACUGGAUCUCAUACAUUUCACUGAAUCUGUGUGGAUUUGGGGUGUUCCUUAAAGGUCUUCAAUUUGGAGCCAAUCCUUUUUUGGGUGCCAUCCAUAAAUGCCAUGCUGGGUGUUCGUGUUUUUCUCAAUAAACGUGUACGUCUCUCAACAUUUACAUCUCUGAGUGUUUUAUACUAAAGAAUGUAGCAGCUGACCCAGCACAUCAGUCUAAAUGGCUAUAACGGAAAUUACAGAAAUUCCAUUAUCAUCAUCAUCAUCAUCAUCUUCUUUUCCUCUACCAAUCCUUUUAUGUUCUCAUUACACUUAUGAUCUACGUGUAAAUGGCUUCCAUUGAUCCAUUAAUGUUCCCGUCAUCCCUAGCAGGUAUCCCUUCCACUGGUGCUGUAAUGUCCUCUUCCCUCAACAUCGAAAUCCAUUUGUGUUCUCUCUUUCGUGUCAUAUGUCUCUGUCAAAAAUAGUCCAUAUUGAUCUGGUCAAGUUCAGAGGUCUAGAGAAAACUGAGCAUGCUGUGGCUCUUCAGGAAUGUUUGAGGAAGAGGUGAGUGCUGUUGUCUCUCCAGCUCAACAGGCUUGUCUCCUGUGCCUGCUGCACUGAUAAUCAGUGUUCUCUUCUAGCUGGCUCAGUUCAGCAGGAACAGGAGUGCUGUCAAACAGCCGCCCGUGACCUCAGUGGACCGAAAACGGGAUUGGACUCUUCAUCGUGCUCUUCUAGAACUCACAUUCCAGAAAAUGCACAAAUUUAAUGUCCAUUUCAAAUGCACUUUUGGAGCUUGCCCUUUUAAAUAAUUCUCUACAACCAAAUAAAGUUUUAAUUCGA